CGCUCCCUCAAUUACUACCUCGAUCCCCCGCUCCGCUUGGCCCACUGAGGUGCAGUCUUCCUGGAUUGAACUAUGGAGGAAGAGACAUACAGUCCCCUCUCUCUCUUUUUCCUCUUUUCUCUUUGCUUGAGGCGAAACCGAUUCUAAAACUCAACCCAGAUUUCAGAUCAUUUAUUUUUUUAAACUCAACCCUGACACAAAAACAUGUCUCUGGUUAUGGUUAACACUCGUUCUCAUGUAACAUUAAAAGAAGAGAACAGAAAAGUGGAGUGAAUAUUUUUUUAAAAUCUGAAUGUAGAAACUAGCAUACGGUCAGGUCCCCAAAGGCCCCAGUGGUGGUUUUCUGUCUCUCGCCAGAUCGAUCUGUCGCUAGCGUCUCUACGCAUGGCUCUCUGUCUCUCUACUCCAGGAUAGGUUGAUCUGUCGCUAGCGUCUCUACGCAUGGCUCUCUGUCUCUCUACUCUAGGAUAGGUUGAUCUGUCGCUAGCGUCUCUAUGCAUGGCUCUCUGUCUCUCUACUCCAGGAUAGGUUGAUCUGUCGCUAGCGUCUCUACGCAUGGCUCUCUGUCUCUCUACUCCAGGAUA
ensembl:lncRNA